rnacentral:rRNA from 1 species
GACGAACGCUGGCGGCGUGCUUAACACAUGCAAGUCGAACGGAAAGGCCCUGCUUUUGUGGGGUGCUCGAGUGGCGAACGGGUGAGUAACACGUGAGUAACCUGCCCUUGACUUUGGGAUAACUUCAGGAAACUGGGGCUAAUACCGGAUAGGAGCUCCUGCUGCAUGGUGGGGGUUGGAAAGUUUCGGCGGUUGGGGAUGGACUCGCGGCUUAUCAGCUUGUUGGUGGGGUAGUGGCUUACCAAGGCUUUGACGGGUAGCCGGCCUGAGAGGGUGAACGGCCACAUGGGGACUGAGGUACGGCCCAGACUCCUACGGGAGGCAGCGGUGGGAAGUAUUGCACAAUGGGCGGAAGCCUGAUGCAGCGACGCCGCGUGCGGAAUGACGGCCUUCGGGUUGUAAACCGCUUUCGCCUGUGACGAAGCGUGAGUGACGGUAAUGGAUAAAGAAGCACCGGCUAACUACGUG